rnacentral:tRNA from 1 species
GGGGUUGUAGCUCAGUGGUAGAGCACUUGCCUAGCAGGUAUGAGGCACUGGGUUCACUUGUUAGCACCA